GUGGUAACGACUGCAGGGGGAGGGCUCCAGGAAGCAGCUCCCCUGUCCUCCCGCGCAAUGCUGUGUGGGGCGUUGCCAUGGUAACGCGCGGCAACGCUCCACACAGCAUCGCGCGGGAGGACAGGGGAGCUGCUUCCUGGAGCCCUCCCCCUGCCUCCCGACCCGGA
rnacentral:miRNA from 1 species